AUUGAACGCUGGCGGCAGGCCUAACACAUGCAAGUCGAACGAGUGGCGGACGGGUGAGUAAUGUCUGGGAAACUGCCCGAUGGAGGGGGAUAACUACUGGAAACGGUAGCUAAUACCGCAUACCAUCGGAUGUGCCCAGGUGUGAUUAGCUAUUUGGUGGGGUAACGGCUCACCUAGGCGACGAUCCCUAGCUGGUCUGAGAGGAUGACCAGCCACACUGUAACUGAUACACGGUCCAGACGCCUACGGGAGGCAGCAGGUGGGAAUAUUGCACAAUGGGCGCAAGCCUGAUGCAGCCAUGCCGCGUGUAUGAAGAAGGCCUUCGGGUUGUAAAGUACUUUCAGCGAGGAGGCGUUACUCGCAGAAGAAGCACCGGCUAACUCCGUGCCAGCAGCCGCGGUAAUAC
rnacentral:rRNA from 1 species